CCUUGCAGGGCAGCUGUGUCCUGGAUCCUGCUUUGCUUCUGGGUGAAGGAGAAGCAGCUGUAAUAGAUUCUCCUGAGGAUCACAAAUCCUAUUGAGGCCAGUUCCAUGCCGCUAGGCCAAGCAGAAAGCAGAGCUUCUCUGCAGAGAUAAAAGGCAGAGAAGUGUCUUGCUGUGCCAUGGCUCCGCAUCGUACUGUGAGAUGCAGACUUCAUUAUCCUUGAAAGUGUGGGGAGCCUCAUGCAAAUGAGCCUGGGGAGACAAGUAUGUCUUUGCCCAUGUCAGAGACAAGUAUCUUGACUUUCAUGUAGUUGAUCAGUUUGGCUCAGGAAGAAAGACAGAUGAGGCCCUGGCUGCCCAGAGUGGCUACACCAACCUCUCUGACCACUGGGGAAACGUAGGCUCCAGGCAUCUCUCCUCAGCUGCUACACCUAU
rnacentral:lncRNA from 1 species